CCUACGGGAGGCAGCAGUGAGGAAUAUUGGUCAAUGGGCGAGAGCCUGAACCAGCCAAGCCGCGUGAAGGAUGACGGCCCUACGGGUUGUAAACUUCUUUUGUCAGGGAGCAAUUGAGUCCACGUGUGGGCUUAGCGAGAGUACCUGCAGAAAAAGCAUCGGCUAACUCCGUGCCAGCAGCCGCGGUAAUACGGGGGAUGCGAGCGUUAUCCGGAUUUAUUGGGUUAAAGGGGUGCGUAGGCGGAAUAUCAAGUCAGCGGUAAAAAUGCGGGGCCAAACCCCGCCGUGCCGUUGAAACUGAUGUUCUUGAGUGGGCGAGAGGUAUGCGGAAUGCGUGGUGUAGCGGUGAAAUGCAUAGAUAUCGCGCAGAACUCCGAUUGCGAAGGCAGCAUACCGGCGCCCAACUGACGCUGAGGCACGAAAGCGUGGGUAUCGAACAGGAUUAGAUACCCUUGUAGUC
rnacentral:rRNA from 1 species